rnacentral:rRNA from 1 species
AUUGAACGCUGGCGGCAUGCUUUACACAUGCAAGUCGAACGGUAGAGGGGGCAACCCCUUGAGAGUGGCGAACGGGUGAGUAAUAUAUCGGAACGUGCCCAGUCGUGGGGGAUAACGUAGCGAAAGUUACGCUAAUACCGCAUACGAUCUAAGGAUGAAAGCGGGGGAUCGCAAGACCUCGCGCGACUGGAGCGGCCGAUAUCAGAUUAGGUAGUUGGUAGGGUAAAGGCCUACCAAGCCAACGAUCUGUAGCUGGUCUGAGAGGACGACCAGCCACACUGGAACUGAGACACGGUCCAGACUCCUACGGGAGGCAGCAGUGGGGAAUUUUGGACAAUGGGCGAAAGCCUGAUCCAGCCAUGCCGCGUGCAGGAUGAAGGCCCUCGGGUUGUAAACUGCUUUUGUACAGAACGAAAAGGUUUCUAUUAAUACGAGGAGCUCAUGACGGUACUGUAAGAAUAAGCACCGGCUAACUACGUG